AUGUUCCCGGCUGGUGUCACUAUACCAUCUGGAGGUCUAACAGCAGGCACGAGUGCUCAAGUCAAGGCCAAAUGGGCACUCAGUGCGACCCUGGAGAAGCAGCUGACACACCAAGGGGCGGCCACGUGCCUGCUGGCAGCCUUCACACCCUCAUCCGGGGUCUCAGAGGGCGCUGGCAACACAGAUCCCUGCCUCCCCUCUCAGGAAAGGGUUGCAGAGCCAGGGGAAGGGAGGCCGCCUCCAGGCGGGUGCGCAGAGCCAGGGAGCGCGUCUGGAUGGUGGCUCUUUCCCACCAUCCUUCUCUGGCAGGAGCAGUUCAAAGUGGGGCUUCUAGGCUGUUCCAUACAUUUCACGAUUUCUCAGUCUUUCGCUUCAAUUAAAAAAAAAAAAAUGGGGGCAUGCCCGAGCCCCGCCUCUGCCCACUUCCUUCUCCUUCCUCCCCGCAGGGCUCCCUCCUUGCUCCCUCCACUGCUGCGCUCUGCCCCGUCUGCUCCCGCCAGGGGUCCCCACCGUCUCUGCGGACGGAGGAGCCGCCUCCCAGGCCCGGACGUGCCCAGGGCGGGUGGAGGGCGUGGGGCGGGCCGGUAUUUCCUGACCCGCUGGAGGAGCCGGCCCCACGGGCUUGUGGCCUCCCCGGAGCCAGUGAGUCAGGAACUUCCUACUUCAAGAGGCUUCCCCAGUGCAGCAGAAAACCAACUAGUCUCCCCCACUGCUCCCGACCUCUGUGAUGUCCACAGCCGCGGGAAUGCGGGCCCCAAACCAGCAGGCUCUGCUCUAGGCGCCUCAGUGCUGGUGCGGCUCUUGGAGAAGGCUCGGGCGGGGCGGGUGGGGCGUGGGGGGUUCACAGGUGGAGACAGCCCGUCUCUGCCCCGCAGACUGCUGGGCGCAGUCCCGAAAUAUUCUUCCCAAGUGGACUUUUUUGCUGACAACCUAGAGGAGAGGGUUUCGGGUAGGAUAACCGUAGGUCCCCCUUGUUCCCUUGUGCCACGCUGUGUCACACUGGGAACCAGGGAUUCCCAGUGA
rnacentral:lncRNA from 1 species